UGGAGUACAAACAUUACCUAAACAUCCAUGCAGAGAAAAUGACAACUAAUAUUUGACUAUGUCUUCUGUCUUCUUUCCAGUGUCAGAGAGUUGUGGUUACAAUGGAACUUAAAAGAUCUGAAGUAUAAAGGACAAGCCUAGGUGAGAAGAUGGGGUACAGGGCCUACUUUCCUCCCUGAGGAUCCCUAAAGGAGCCUUAGCAGGGACAGAAUUAGAGCACCUGUCAUGGGCAGAGGACCCAGGACAUGAGUGAAGACUUCAGCUCUUACAGUUUGGAUCUUUAGAUGAACUCUUAAUAUCUCAAUGACGUAAAUAAAUUUGAGCCCCACUUUUAUUGGAAGUGGAAAGCACACCCUAUUUGUGAGAUUUGAGGGAAAUAAUGAGAAUGAUUUUUUUUUUUUUAAUUUG
rnacentral:lncRNA from 1 species